rnacentral:rRNA from 1 species
UGACGAGUGGCGGACGGGUGAGUAAUGCUUGGGAAUCUGGCUUAUGGAGGGGGAUAACUACUGGAAACGGUAGCUAAUACCGCAUAAGGUCUAAGGACAAAAGGGGGCGUAAGCUCUUGCCAUAAGAUGAGCCCAAGUGGGAUUAGGUAGUUGGUGAGGUAAUGGCUCACCAAGCCUGCGAUCUCUAGCUGGUCUGAGAGGAUGACCAGCCACACCGGGACUGAGACACGGCCCGGACUCCUACGGGAGGCAGCAGUGGGGAAUAUUGCGCAAUGGGGGGAACCCUGACGCAGCCAUGCCGCGUGAAUGAAGAAGGCCUUCGGGUUGUAAAGUUCUUUCGGUGAUGAGGAAGGUGAUAAGGUUAAUACCCUUAUUAAUUGACGUUAGUCACAGAAGAAGCACCGGCUAACUCCGUGCCAGCAGCCGCGGUAAUACGGAGGGUGCGAGCGUUAAUCGGAAUAACUGGGCGUAAAGGGCACGCAGGCGGAUUUUUAAGUGAGGUGUGAAAGCCCCGGGCUUAACCUGGGAAUAGCAUUUCAGACUGGGAAUCUAGAGUACUUUAGGGAGGGGUAGAAUUCCACGUGUAGCGGUGAAAUGCGUAGAGAUGUGGAGGAAUACCGAAG